rnacentral:rRNA from 1 species
UACGAACUGUGCAAACGUUAUUCGGAAUCACUGGGCUUAAAGGGUGCGUAGGCGGCUUGUUAAGCAGGGUGUGAAAUCCCUCGGCUCAACCGAGGAAUUGCGCUCUGAACUGGCGAGCUGGAGUGAGGCAGGGGUGCGCGGAACUUCCAGUGGAGCGGUGAAAUGUGUUGAUAUUGGAAGGAACACCGGAGGCGAAGGCGGCGCACUGGGCCUUGUCUGACGCUGAGGCACGAAAGCCAGGGGAGCAAACGGG